AUGCACCAGAUACGAGCCUGACAGUCCACCUGGUCCCAGAUGUGUUGCACACUGGGAUUUUGUAUGACUGUACGACUUCAAAUGGUGCGAGAGCAGCAUCAGCCCUGAGAUUUAAGCUUUUCAGUGGGAAGCAUCACUGUUGAGUUAUGGCUCAGAGGCACAGAG
ensembl:scaRNA